CGUGGCUUCCACGGGACUUAGUGCAGAAGCAGCCUGGACCAAGGCUUGGAGCUCAGCUGGUCCUGCGGGGCAUUUGCCAGGGGCCUGCCCUGGCGCCUACAGAUGGGGCAGAGGAUGAGCGGGGUGCCCGGAACCUGGUGAGCCAUGGCAGGCUGUAGCCACUGUGAAAAGCGGCCCAGGCUGCUGACUCUGGGCUGGGCGUUAUCUACACUGUGAGCAUCAGGGGCUUGUGCAGUCUUUCCACGGGCAACUCUGAAAAUAACAGUGUUUUUCUUUAUUCCCUUUAAUCCCCUUUUAAAAACUGUGUGGAGUGCUCGUGCUCACUUCGGCAGCACAUAUACUAAAAAUUGUGUGGAAAUGUAUACAGUGCAACCCUGAGCAUUUUAGCCACCUGUAAGUGUGCGAUUCAGUGAUCAGUAGACUCACAUGUAUGUGUAUCUUUCCCAUCCAUUUAGAAAAGAUCUGUAUUUAUGUCCAGACAGAGUUUGUCUUUCUAAAUACCAAGAAGAUUUUUAUCUUAAGGAAGCAGACUGCUCCCAGUGCGUGAGAUUUUAUGAAUUCUCACAGUUUACAAAUACAGGAGAGGAACCCACCGAGGGCAGGUGCUGGGGGUUGAGCGGCUGUGUGAGCCAGACCCGGAGCGCCUCUGCCCCGGCACGGUCUCUCCUCCCUGGCCCUCCGUUCUCCCCUGGUUUCCGCAGUCCUGGGAGCAGGACCAUGGGUGACUGCUGAGGCAGAGCCUCCAGGCCACGCCUGCAGGACUGAAGCUGCCCAGUGAACAACUGUGAUGAAUCUCUGCUCUUGUCUGCUGUAGGUGAUGGGGGGCCGAGGCAAAAUGAGAGCUGAAGCUGAAGGCUUUCUUUUCUUCACCACACAUCAUCGUUUUCAGCUUUGAGGCACGAGGUCUAUUUUAGAGAGCAAGUAACAUUUCACAAACUUUGCAGCCGCAAAGCAGAAACUCAACUGGUCACUUGCGCCGCUGGGCUCUGGGCUGGACACCAAGAGGCGCAGCAGGUUCUGCUUUCGGUCUUGGCAUGGCCUCUGGGCAAGUUGGUGGCUUCUCCGAAACUCAGACCCUUCCCUCAUUGGCACCUGGAAGGAGGGGACUUGACGCUGCCGUUGUGAUGCCAACUGCCACGAGGCCUCAUCAGAGGCUAAACCAGUGGGGCUGCCUCAUCUUAGACUUUCAGUCUCCAAGAAAUUCCAGGUUAUAGACUUUUAACUAAUAACCCUCACCAAACAACCAGCUGGCUUUGGAAGCUUCCCCCAAAGAAAACGCAGAGGAUAAGAAGAGAACACAAAGAUGCUGGAGUGGAUUCUUCAGCUUCUAGUAUGAACUAGUUGUAAUUUUUGUUAGAAGUAAAAACAGUACAAUCAGAUCCGAAAAGAAGUCAGCCAAAACUAUGUGAAUGUUUUGAGAAGAUUAUGUGAGUCAUAGCUAUAUAGCCAUUUUGUUCAUCAUGACCUUAAACUAUGUGUAUAUUGUACCUUGAGAUAUAAGAGAACAAGAAUGUCACUGUAGGCAAGGCGAUAAAAUAUGACCUAUGGAGAAUGUAAAGACACAUCGCAGCAUUUCCCCACCAAAGUUUAAAGUUUUGCAACAUUUCAGCACUUACCCAUUUUUACUAAACAAAUAAUAAUAAAUAUUUAGCUGCUUAGAAGCCAUAUACAAUGGUAAAACUGCCCACAAUAACACAUGGAAAAAAUAUGGGAAUGAUUUUUAAAUGUAGUCUUUUUCUUUCAUAAAAUAUCAUCAAGAUGCAUGGAAAGCAAUUGCUGAAUAUUUGAAGAAACACAUAUUAGAAUACAUAGUGCAACGUGGGAAUUUUCCCAUAUAGUCAGAUGAGAGUAUAUGUUUCCCACAGUAUUCAGUUAUUGCAGGUGCUAAAUUCUGUUGUAAAAAUGAAACACAUAAGGUAUGUUCUUGUAAGCCACUACAAAAGGACAAUGAAAGUGUAUUAGUUACUUUUCUCAUCACUGAGACACAAUACCUGGCACUCAACUUAAAGAAGGAGAGGUUUGUUUCAGUUCAUAUUUUCAGUCCAUAGUCCGCUGGCUCCCUGGCAGGAAGGACAUGGCAGAAGAGUGUGAUGGGGGAAAGCUCCUCACAGCAUGGCGGCCAGGAAGCAGAGAGAAGGGAAGAGCCUGGGAAGGAGAUAGAGCCUUCCAGGUCACACCCCCGUGACCCACCUCCUUCAGCGUAUAACUAUGAGCCCAUUAGUGGGCCAAUCCACCACUGAGUAUACCACCCUCAUGAACUACUCACCUUCCAAACACGUCAGACUUUGGGGGAAUAAUCCAGAUCUAAACCAUAAUAGGAAGGAGAUAUAUUCUCAGUAAUGAAGAUGACUUCUAGAAUGGUGGGUUAGUCAGCUUUUCAUCACUAUAAGGGGAACUUUUUUUUUUUUUGGUGCAGGGGAUUGAACUUGGAACCUUGCACUUGUGAGACAGGCGCCUGAACCACUAAGCUAAAUCCCUGGCUCUAGCUUUUCAUUACUAUAAUGGGAUACCUGAGAUGAUCAACUUACAAAGACAGAAGGUUUACUUUUGCUUAGGGUUUUGAGGGUGCCAGUCCAUGAUUGGUUGGCUCCAUUGCUUCAGGCCUGUGGUGAGCUAGGACAUCAUGGCAGAAGUGCUGGGUGGAGCUCACAUAUGGCUCAGAGGCAAAAGAGCAGGGAUGCCACAAUCCCAUUCAAGAGUGCACCCCAGUGGCCCAAAGACUUUCCACUACACCCUGCCUCUUAAAGUUUCCACCACCUCCAAGAAGUGCCACCCCAGGGACCAAGCCUUUCACACAUAGUCUUUGGGGGUACAUUUCAGAGCCAGACUAUAACAAAUAGCUUAAAAAUGCAGACAGAAGUGUAGCCAGGGCAUAGGCUUCAACUGCAAUAAGAAGAUACCUGUGCAUCAUAACAGAGCUGCCAGGGAGCCCAGAGUAUCAUGAUUCAAAUUACUAGUUUGCUGGCUGUGACUGUGGAUGAGUUCCCUAAAUGUAUGAGUCCAUUUUCUGUUACUAUGACAAAAUACCUGAGAUUGACUGGUUUAUAAAGUAAAGAGGUUUAUCUUGGCUCAUGGUUCUGGAGGUGCAGUCACAUCUCAAGAUGGGCUUCUUGCUGGCAGUGUCCUGAGGGGCACAGGGCAUCACGUGGCAAGAGACAGGAAGCUGGGACAUGUGCGUGUCCUCUGGCCUCUCUCUCUUCUUAUAAAGCUACCAGGUCCAAUCAUAGUGACCUUGCCUAUCUUAAUCACCUCUCAGAGGCCCCACCCCUAAACAACACAUGCCAUUCACACAUCCACAUUCUUAAUACCCUGGGACAGGGGUUAAAUUUCAACUGCGGAGCCCUGGAGAUGCUCACAUCAUAUCUAGAUCACAGCAUGUAACUUCCCUGUCCCUCAGUUUCCUUGCCUAUGAAAUGGGGACAAUAACUGUAUCCACUUGAGGGACAGUUUGGAAAAUUAAACUCAUAUGCUUGAAGUAUUUAAAUUGCAACAAGCAUAUAUCAAGUGCUCAACAGAUACAGUCGAAUAAUUUACACCACACUUGAAAUACGUUUCUUAGCAAACUACCAUGGUAAAGAAUUGGAAGUUGGAAAGGUCAAGUUCUCCACUGAAUAUCAGUGAUAUGGUUCAGUUCAUAAAAUAGAGCUUUUAAUAUGUCAUGAAAUUUUUAUAAUAUUUUUAAAGACAAAGAAUGAGUGAAAAAUUUUUAUCUACAAUAGGUUGGAUAUGUAUGUUGUAGCAAAUUAUGCAAGAUAGUAAAUAUAAAAGGAAUUAGGAAUUUUUGUGUCUAUGUUACCUAACUCUCAAAAUAUAAAAACAUCUGGAAUCUGUCCCUCAAACUAUAGUGAUAUUCAAUAAUAAAUGAUAAAAUAAUGCCUCUGAAAGAAGUAUUGAGAGCAGUUUGGUUUCCAACUUGGUGAUUUUAUUGUUAGAAAAAGUAUAGUUAUAAUAUAUAUAAAAACUGUCAUAUUUGCUCAAAUCAAAAUGUGGAAACAGGAUUUUCUUGUUAAAAGAUCUGCCAAUGAAAAUGUUAGUGUUUUGGAUGCAUUUGUUUAAAAUAUAGAAAAAGUAAGACCUAUGAUUGAUAUCAUAGAAAUAGGAUUUCACUUAGGCUAACUUUGAUAUACUUAGUAUGUGAAAAUGAAAAUUAAUUUCUUG
ensembl:lncRNA